rnacentral:rRNA from 1 species
UACGUAGGAGGCGAGCGUUGUCCGGAAUUACUGGGCGUAAAGCGCGUGUAGGCGGCCUGCCAAGUCUGCUGUGAAAGCGCCUGGCUUAACCGGGCGAGGUCGGUGGAAACUGGCGGGCUGGAGGCCGGUAGAGGGGGGUGGAAUUCCCGGUGUAGUGGUGAAAUGCGUAGAGAUCGGGAGGAACACCAGUGGCGAAGGCGGCCCCCUGGGCCGGGCCUGACGCUGAGACGCGAAAGCGCGGGGAGCGAACGGG